rnacentral:sRNA from 1 species
AUCAUCUCUUGAAGCUUCAACUUCACUACUUCUGUAGUCUCAUCUUGAGUAAAAGAGAACCCAGCCAACUAUGAAGUUCCUUGUCUUUGCCUUCAUCUUGGCUCUCAUGGUUUCCAUGAUUGGAGCUGAUUCAUCUGAAGAGAAAUUUUUGCGUAGAUUGGGAAGAUACAGUGUAAGUAUUCUCUGAUAAUGCUGUGUAGUCCAAAUAAAUUGUAUUAUCUGAUUACUUAUUCUUCUAGAAGAACCAAUACUUAUUUCUCAAAUAUGUGUAGUAGUUGCAAAAGUGUGUUUUGUUUUCCUCUAUUUAUGAUACACAGGUAACAGUCACAAAUGUAUUGUGUCCUAACAACAUUUAAGUUGAAACUCAUAGUGCCAACCUGAAGAAACCAGUUACUCUCUGAGCCCUCAAGUAUCAUCUCCUAAGUAAUCACUUUGACCUAAAAAAUAGUUGAAAUUCUAAUUCUGUUAAUUAUAAUAUAUGUCUCAUGGAGCAUAAAGGCUGAUAAUUACACAUAAAAUAUGGUAAGUUUGCACCUUCUGAUUUUUUUGAUGAUGAUAAACUCAUUAAAUUAAACAGGUCAUGAUAAAUGAGAUAGCAAAUUUCAUUUCUUUAACAUUUUUCUUAAUGUAUGUAUCUUGACGUCCCAGUAUGUUGACAUAUAAUGUCAAUGUGACAGAGUUGCAAAAGAUCCCCUAACUAAUAUAGUGAAUACAUGGAUUAAAAUAACA